GCAAUAUGUUUGCUUUAUAAGACUUGUAUAUGUCAAUUUUACAGAUUUAAAUAACACUUUGAAACUAAAUGGUUGGGUGGGUGGAUGUGCGUGUGGAUGUAGGUGUAAGUAAAAUUUAUCUUUUAUGAAACAGUGGUUUUCCCGAUCUGUUCCACUAUCUGCAGGAAACUUGUGGCCCCAUUCAUUUUUGGGGAACCAGUUUAGAUAGUAUCAGUGGACACAUUGAAUCAAAUACUUCUAUUAUGUUUUAAUUUUCAGGUUGGAUUUUGGAGCAACAAGCACUUAUACUGUUUCCAGUGGUACAGUUAGAUCUGGCGAGAUGCAAAAGAAGAUGGGACUUUUCCUCUUUUAACAUUGUGUGGAAGGUAGAAUUUCAGCAGAAUGUAGCUUGCACCCCUCUUUUACAUCUAGACACUCUAGGGUGCAGCUCUCUAGAUGUUACCCACCCUUAGAUGCAAGCUAAGCUGCUGAAAUUUCAUUUUCUGUACACUAUAGUUUGAGAAUUACAGUCCAAAAACCAUUAGAGUGCCAUAUUUUGUCCCACUCCACCAGUGACAGAGCUCCUGCAUUUUUCAUAGUUUUGUAGAAGAAGAGAUUUACAUGGAUAUAGCAUGUCAUCCCUCUUCUCUGCAGCUAUGAUGGACACGGGAGCCCUGUCCUUUGGUAAGAGUGCGGGUGGAGGUAGCGAACAUGCAAUGUUGUCUUUUAUAUCUGGCCACCUUAGCAGAUACUGCCACUUUGAGAACACUAUUCUCUUCUUUCCGGUAUGCAUGGCUCUAGAAUUUCUUUCUUUCUUUUCUUCCAGUGUGAGAAACUGGAGCUGGCAAAAGGACCCUGAUGGCUUUCCUUUGCAGCACAAAGUGCUUGUAGUUACACCAGAUUGCUUGACAUCUGCUAGACGUGACACUGUCUUCUGGUACUCCAGAGAGCCCAAAGUGAGUGAACACCACGGGGGAAGCUUGGCUGAUUCCAAAGGUACGACCAUCUUUUCCUUUCUCUUUCCCAGAAGACUUAAAGGGAGAGAGUCUGUGAGCUGAAAAGUGACUCAGAAAGCUUCUCUUUGUCCUAUGUGAGUGGCAGUUACUUAGGAAAGAUGUAAAA
rnacentral:lncRNA from 1 species